rnacentral:tRNA from 1 species
GAUAUAGCUUAGCAGUUAAAGUGCUUUGCCUUGCAAGCACAAGGACCUGAGUUCAAUCCCCAGUGUC